ACAAGAGCCGCACUAUUAUACAGACGGCGCUGGCGGCGCCGGUAUUUUCGUAUUCUACGCGAUCGGUAGAAUACGAAGGUACGGCCAGGGACCGGCGUGUUGUUACUCCUCCGUCUUCAACGGUUGUUGUGCCAGCUGCUUCGAUAUGUUUGUUUGAUCGUGUGUUAUUAGGCUUGCUGUAAUGAAAUGAGACGCAGUUCGCGAGCACGAAAGUGCCAGAAGAUGGCUUGAGUCUCGCUGUAAGUACGCCGUAUGUGUGGCGCGCCAGCUAAAUGUGGACCAACGAUUUUCAUGCCGUGGAGUGCGUUCCCUUUGUCUCCGCUGGUUGUCGUGGAAAGUUUGGUGGACGGCGCAAAGAAGUAAUGCGUAUUAUUAGCGUGCCUCAGCUCGUCCACUACCCAGCGGCUUGUAUGCUGCAAGUAACAUCGCGGACGCAUCGCUGGAAACUUGGAGAGCGCCUUUCGACCUCGUCGUACUGUUGAAACGUGGCGAGGCCGUGACCCACAACAUAAACUACAAGAUCGAGGAGCCCCCCCCCCCCCCCCCCCCAGAAAUGCAGACCCUGUGGAUAUAUGGCUGCAGCAGCAUGGUGUGUGAUCUGGAUGGUCAUGUCAGGUGUGUAUGAAAUGCUCCACCGUUGCCGAUUACUAGAUGGACCAAAUGAGGCCAAAAACUAGCCUUCCUCGCUCCUUUCCUGGAAAGUGAAAUAGCAGGUGAUCAUGUAAGAAUGAACUUGCAACAUGUGAGCAGUAGCCAAAGCUCCAUACAGGUCAUGCUGGUGGUGGAAUGAUAAGACAAACCGCAAUAUUUAUUUGUUUACUUAUGCACUUAAUAUUUAUUUAUUCAUAUCUCAUGAGUACUGUGCAGUUUUACAGCAAGGAAUCAGGUAAAAUAAAGAAAUAUUGUUGCGUCAAAGUAAACAUGUUAUUUGAAAAAGCAUAAUUCACGUAGCACAGUACCAUGAUGGAGCAUUUUUAGACAACUAGUCUGCUUUUGAUACGAAUUCAUGAAAACUGCAAAUUUUGAAGAAACAGAGCAGUAAGGUUAACAAGUCUUACUCAUAACUAAAAUAUGAGAUCGCAUUUCUGUUGGACCUAAUACCGUAAUUUAAUCUGGCAAAUUUGAGAUACCAUAUGCUGCUCUAAUAUACAAUCACUAAUUUAUGAGUAGAUGCGCGAAACUCUCAAACAUUGCAACAAUUUCAUGUAAGCUGUAAAUUCAUAUAUAAAAUUUGUUGACUUUAGACAUAGCAGAUGGAGUCUGCAGAACUGUGAUAUCUCUUUCUGGCACAGAGAUGUGGAUUAUUAAGCUUUGUGGUGUUAUUUUUCUUAAACCUGCCAAAUAGUUAUUCCUGCAACACGUAGAAUUCUCAAAUGUCACAAACUUAAUUCAAAUUAUUGCUGUAGUUGUCUCAAAAGUAUUUCUGUAUUUUGGAUGUAUUUGAGUAAGAAAAACGACAGAAUUAACGAACUUGUGCUAGUCCUUUUUUUUUUCAAUUUGCAGUUGCAAACUAAGUAAGUUCUUUUCCUUCAAGUUUUGCUGUGUUAAGCAAAUUUUAACAAAAAUUGAUGGUGUUACUGUAAAGGCUAUUAUUUAAACAUUUUUAAAUGUAUCAAACCUCAUCAAAUUUCGUUCCAUAGUUGCCGAGAAAAACUAUUUUACUGUUCGUGUGCAUUACAUAGGAGCUCCCGAGCUAAAUCUCUUUUUUAGUCAUUGCGUGUGACGGUCUGGUUUGUAUUUCUCAUCCUAAUUUUAGAAUAUUGGCUCUGAUCUCAAAAUUGUUUCCCUUACAACGAAAUACAAGCUUUUAAACUUUGUACGAUAUAUGGUGUACUGCUCUAUGAAAACCACUGUUUGGCACAUUUUUGCAGGGCCUGCCAGUGCUAAUUUUACACAAACAUAGACUAAAAGGCUGUGUCGUUUCGGUAUAUGGUGUACUUAUCUGUGAAAGCCACUAUUUGCCACAUUUUUGCAGGGACUGCCAGUGUUAUUUUUGCAUUUAAACAGAUUAAAUGCUGUGUCGUUUCGUCAGGCUGACACAACAUUGCAGUGGACAUUCAUAUCAGUCUAUUGUCAGGCUUUAGUAUCCAACCAUUUAAUGUGCGCUGCUGGAACAGGCACUUCUUUUGCAGUUUUAAUGGUAUGGUUUUUGUCCUAGUCAAGCCUGUUAUUGCCAGGUGUAAACUGUAAUCAAGUGUGCCACUGAUUUUUUUACCUCAUGUUUCAUGCGUUCGCACCACCAGCUUGACCCGAGAAGCAUGUUGGCAGCUGUUUGUGUGUUGCAAGUUCUAGUAUGAAGCGUGUAUGUCACAUAUAUGAAGCAUGUAUAUAGUCUGAAGUGCAAUAAACAUUUCGAACUGAAUA